rnacentral:rRNA from 1 species
AUUGAACGCUGGCGGCAUGCUUUACACAUACAAGUCGAACGGCAGCGCGGGGCAACCUGGCGGCGAGUGGCGAACGGGUGAGUAAUAUAUCGGAACGUACCCAGAAGUGGGGGAUAACGUAGCGAAAGUUACGCUAAUACCGCAUACGAUCUACGGAUGAAAGUAGGGGACCGCAAGGCCUUAUGCUUUUUGAGCGGCCGAUAUCUGAUUAGCUAGUUGGCGAGGUAAAGGCUCACCAAGGCGACGGUCAAUAGCUGGUCUGAGAGGGCGACAAGCCACGCUGGGACUGAGACACGGUCCAGACUCCUACGGGAGGCAGCAGUGGGGAAUUUUGGACAAUAGGCGCGAGCCUGAUCCAGCAAUGCCGCGUGAGUGGAGAAGGCCUUCGGGUUGUAAAGCACAUUUGUCAGGGAAGAAACGGUAGAGGCUAAGAUCCUGAGCUAAUGACGGUACCUGAAGAAUAAGCACCGGCUAACUACGUG